UGGCACCCCAGGAGGUGUGUCUAGCUCCCAGAUCAAGGUCAGCCUUAGAUCUGGAGGUGGCUGAGGAGGUCCCAAGUUCCUGAGUCAGUGACCUUGGGGUCACCUGGGAUCUGGAAUGGCUGGUAUUUCUCCCUGAGGUGGGAACCGAGCCAGCUGGGAACCCACCAACCCCCUGCGGGUUGGCUGGUCCCUAUUGUUUGUGGGCACCAAUGGAGCAGAGCGUGGAGAGUGCCGUUCCCACGUGAAGAGCUGCCCGCCAUCUGCCCACAGUGUCACGGGAGCCGUGUUCACUCAGCACUAGAGAUCCGGGGCAAAGCUGUGGGACUGGCGGCCUGGAUCCCCUUCAGCCGCUCUGACUCCUGACAGCGGUGCCCUCGGAGGGCGUAGACCGAGAAGGCUGGCCCAGUCCCUCGGUGACUUCAGUGAACAAGAGUUUUUCUGUUGAGUUGGCAGCUGUUUAUGAUUUUUCUCUCCACCUGCCCAUUCAAUAAACUGUAUUCACCCACCUCA
rnacentral:lncRNA from 1 species